rnacentral:tRNA from 1 species
CAAGAAAUAGUUUAAAUUAAAAUAUUAAUUUUGGAGAUUAAUGAUAAAGAUAUUUCUUUUUUCUUGA